GGCGGGACCCACCGGGGCGGGACCCGGCAGGUCCUUCCGGGCUCUCCCGGCGGGUCUCGGGUUCCUUCCCGCUCCUCGCGUGUUUCGCUGCCCUCGCAGGCGCCGCAGCCCGAGGAAACCCUCCCGGUAGCCUCGCGGUGUGCCCCGGGCAGCCGUUCCCGCUCAGUCCCGUCCGGUCUCCUCCCCGCCGCGAACGUGCAGGGGCCGCGGCCGAGGUCGCUGUGGGGGCUCUGGGGCGGACACGGCACAGGGAAAGGCUCCCGUGCGGCUCCGUCACGGCACAGGUGCGAGGAACGGCAGGAACAGGUCCGAGAUUCACCCUCCGCAGGAUAAACUUGGCUCUGCGGCUCCUCCCGAGGGAGGUGGUUGUGGCGUGUGUAGGAGAUGCACAAACAGAUUGCUGCAGUUGCCCAACCACUGCUGUGUGGAAGCUGCAGAGCAGAGCUGUGAGAGAGCUCGACCACAGAGAUCAGCAAAUCAGAGCGGGACGAAACCUGAGCAAAUGAAAAUCCUGCUCCAGGGCCAGAGAGAUCACCUUAUAUGGGAACAUCAUGGGAAAGAGAUGAACGCGUCCGGCCGAGCUGCUGAGGUCAGAUCCCAAACAGAGGGGGGAUGUUAAUGUAAAAACAAGAGCAUUUAUGAAGAGAAGACAACACUUCUGCUUUGCUUAUGCAAUCUGAGCCCUCCUGUUUGUCUCUUUUAUUAUAAACAUUGUGCUGUGUGUAUGUACACAUAGGUCUGGCUGUGUUAUAAUGAAAUUCAUUUCUUUGUGGU